UCCCGGCGGUCCAAGUCGCAUCCACAAUUAUUGGGUCUAAAACAUCCGUAGCUUGUUUUGUAAGUCUCUUGUGAAAUCUGAUAUCUCAAGUAUCAGGCGUGCAAGAGAUACUGCAAUGCUAGAGACCGGAAGACGCAAAGAGUACGAUUAAGGUAGUGGUAAAAUAUGUUAAUCUUUAUCGGACUAACAAUGGCGAAGGCACUUUGCGAGUACGGAUCUGACAGUGAGGGAUGAAGGCUAGGGGCGCAAAAGG
rnacentral:rRNA from 1 species